AUCAAAAUUACUGGGCAGAAUCUGCAUUGACAGGCAGCUCAUUAUAAGACAUGCACAUGUGCAGUUCUGUAUACUGGUCACUGCCAAUGGAGAUUUGCCCGGCAAUUUUUCU
rnacentral:pre_miRNA from 1 species